CGCGUCCUCGACGUGUGAUCGGCUGUAAAAACGCUCGUUCUUAGCGUGCGCUUUGGAGUCACCAAGGACGCGCGUUUUUGACGUGCGUUUAUCAUAAUAGAAAUGGGCGUCCAAGACGUGCGUUUUGAGUCGGACAAAACGCACGUUUUGAACGUGUAAACAGGUCAACCAAACGGGCGGUGCAAACGUCUUUUGAAGUAUCCAAACAGGCGAAAGAAACGUGCGCUCUCCUAGUGUUUUCAAAAUGGCACGUCGAAAGCGUGUGUUCACUUCAUAGGGCAGGAGUCUGUAAUGCUUUGUCCGCUAUAUAUGGGCUAUUACGAUUGGAAACGGUGUUGCUCAGUUUACGCGGGAUACCAUUUGGGACUACUUCUUUGCAAGAACUCAUCGGCCUUCUCUCAGCAUUCAUUCAGGUCCUGCGAGACCAGGCCAGUAAUCAAGAAUGUGUAAGUGGGUAUCAAGUAGCAUUUAUUCAUGAUGGCAAAGGUCCCCCAUCCUAUGAUAUAACCAGGGCACAACUAGAACUUCUGGUGGGGUCUGGAUUUACUUCAAGGCAAAUUGCUGAAAUCGUUGGUGUGUCACAAUCCACUGUGAGACGGCG